ACUUUGCCGAGGAGGAGGCCCUCUCUGUUCUGGCAGUCACUUGAGGUUAUCAGAUGUAAAUAGGCCUUGGCAGAACAAAUGGGACCCUGUGUGGCCGGACAAAGUCUGCCUCUCCCAAGAUCCAACAGGGAUGCAGAGCCCAGCAGGAAGGAGCUUCCGGAGUACAGAUGGAAGAAGGCCCAGGUCCUGCCCUUGAGAGGUUCAAAGUUGGUCAACUCUCUCCCCAGGCCACCCAGAACAACUCAGCUCCUGUCACUGCUAAGACAGUGCAUCAGCAGAAAAUAAAAAGCCAAACAUGCCCCCACCCAUCACUGCCAAAGUACCAGUGGAGGCUGAUCCAGCCCGAGCAGAGGAUGGCCUUGGAAUAUUAUCUCAACACCACAGGAAAUCUGCGGUUGUGAAGUCAGCAUUCUGGCAUGACCAAGAAUGGAUUUUUCAAAAGGAUAUGUUCCCCAUGUAGUGGAAAGAUGACACCCCAAGAGCUCCAUCCGGGCAUCUUCAGCCCUAUUGGAAAAAGCUUACUUUCCCAUUCAUUCUGAGGAAAUGACCAGAACUGACUCUCAUGGAAGACUGAUUGGAUUAUUUCCCCAGCCCUGGAGUUGGGAGGUUAGGGUCAGCCACACAGGAACUCCUUGAACUGAGAGGGCAGGCAGGAAAGUCUCCUAGAGGAAAUGGAGGUCCUGAUACCAGAAAUGGCAAUGGUAAAACAGCAGUCAGUGAAAAAUUGAGAUAUACACCCUAUGAAGUGAGCUUAGGAGACUGAUGUAAAAAAACACAAACCAAAAAACAAAACAACACCAAACUUCCUCGUGUGACCCCAGGCUGGAAAUUGAUGUUUAAUCCAGCCAUGAAGGAUGCAUGAUUUAUUAGGAAACUACAGUGUGUCCAGGAAGGGGCGAGGUGGACUGGGGCAGAUACCCUUGGCUGAUUUGGGCCCCCACUCCCUCCCCUUUUAGCCUUAGCUUCAGAGACAGGAUUUCCUGGAGCUGGAGCUGCUGGCUGUGGAACUGGCUCCCAGACAAGCUGAAACCUCUGGUCAAGGCCACGUGCUACCAGAAAGGAGAGAUGUUUGCAGAGAGUACAACCCCGGGCACAAGAGAGGGGGAUGCUGACUGUGGGUAGAGCUGCCCUCUGAAAUGUUAUAGGGUGGUGGGAGACAGGGAGAGAAGUGGCAAAAAUUAAGAGGCUUUAGGCUUUGGCAGUAGGAAUCAAAUUCCAAGCCACAGAUCAAUGCCUCCAUCUCUGGGCAGGAAUGGCCAGUGCUACUUACAGGGAUAUGCAGUGGAAGGAGCUGGUGCCCGGACACUGAAAGGCAGGCUCAUAUGAGUUUGAAACACUCACCAUGACCAAGAAGGCCAUCUUGUAGCAGAGGUCCCUCCAAGGGAGAUUACUAAAUGCAUCAUUUUUCCCCUUUCCAAGAGAUGAGGUGCUGGGAGCUGCAGCAAGCAGGGGACUUUCUCGUACUGUGAGGGGGAAGGAGAAUUAAAGGUGUGGGGAUGGGUUUGUUUCUGAGGGCAGAGGAAGUGAGAGAGAGGAUCCAGGCUGAAAAUUCCACCAGCUCUCCAGGCCCCUUUUAAUGCUAUUGCUUCCACAUUUCAACCAACAGUGACUCCAAAUAUCCCUUGUUUCUCUUCCCCAUCAAAGCUCAGUGUGUGUGUAUGAGGCCUGGGGGAAGGAGAAUGAAAGCACCUGAGAGACUCCCUUGAAGAGACUGAGGGUGCCUGCACAGGGGGAGAGGAGCUUCUGCCACUGGACGCUUACGGAGCUAGAACCCCACAGGCUCAUCCUGGUGCUACUGCUAGAAUAAAGUGUGGUGAGAAGGCAGGGAGAACCCGGGCCAUGUUCCUGUGAGACUGGGGGUGUUUGUGAACAUAGAUAGUGAACCAGAGAGUUCUGAAGGUUGGAGGUUCAUGAAAGGGCCUAUAUGAGCAAGCUUGUCAGGACCAGGAUGUGGUGGGCCUGGGAGGAAAAAAUGGGUCUACCGUGCCCAGUUCCUCAUACUUCCUAUGGCUCCAUGGGACAGAGCAUAACAGUUAGAGGAGGGACAGGAACCAGGGAGCUAGUCAGCAGCUACUGGGCCAAGCAGCGGGGCCCUGACUUGAAGGAGGAGCUGGGGACCGACGGUCAGUAAGGAGGCCGGUUGUCCCUAUCUGUAGAAGUCCUUGGCAGUGAGGGGCCAUAGAGCUGAACAGCACUGAAGAAACUACACAUAUCUCUUCUGUGGAGAUCAUAGAGACCACCACAUCACAGAGACCACCAAGGGCAGAAAGACCCAGAAUAAGGUCGGGAAACCCUUUCCACUACAGAGUGAAGUCAGGGUGGCAGGAGGUCUCCCGAAGCUUCCUCUAGGAGGAAGGACCCUAGGAGUGGUCCAUCCCCUCAUCAAGCCCCCAUAGUCACAAUUCUGACCUGGGUAGGGUAGGUUAGAUAGCAGAUUAAAGUUUUAAAUUGGACUGGUCUGAGUUUUAAUAACUGAAUGAGACCGGAAAGUUAUAAAAAUUCUACCUAUGAUAUUAAAAAAAGAGUCAAGGGAGUGACUAGGGAGAAAAAGACUUAGCGUUGCUUCAAGUGUCUACCUUAACAGGUUAAAACUCCUCCACAACCGGUUGUGGUCACAACAUGGCCACUGGCCAUUCCACCUGAGCCAAAGAGAGCACCCGUGAACCAGAAUGCCUGCAGAAGUCCUGAGAUUCACUCCGACCAGGCCAUCCUGCGUGACGAGGCCACUCCCGAGCCCAUUGUUGUGGCCGAGGGACCACAUGUGCUGAUUAUAGUCAAGCUUAGGUCAUAUUUGCACCCUGGGAGUCGGCUUCCCUUGUACCACAAGGUUCCCCAAAAGGAUGUGGGUAUUACAGGGAAGAGGGAAGGGAGGAUGAAUUUGGGGAAGUAUUGUAUUAUGGAUUUUCCCCAUUCACUCCUCUGAGAGCCUAGAGUUUCUGCCCCAGGAAGAGAGUGGAACUAAAACUAAAAUUCCAGGUGUUUUAUCAUUCCCAGAAUAAGAGCCGGUGGUGAGCUUGAAGACGAGGCCAACAGGGACACAGGAGCAGCUGAGCAGAAUUAACUGUCCCUGCAGGAAGAAAAAGGGAGCACGAGCUCUUAUGCAGGGAGUCCGGGGAACCCCCCCACCCCGCCCCCGGCUGGACAGACGCCACGAGGGACGGGGAGCAGGAGCAGGCUGACGCAGGGGGACAAGUCCUGUCCGAGGGGGAUUUUUCAGGCGUCAAAUUGUGAAAGAGAAAGUGAAAGAAGCCACAAAAAGAUCCCCCUCCUUUGUUGCCCAUAGGACACCAGUUAAAAAGUCCAUUUUCCUGUUACCGACUAGAGCAGGGGAGACAAGGUGACUAAAUGCAAUGGGGGUACCCUGGAUGGGAUUCUGGAACAAAAGAGGACAUUACUGGAAAAACUGGUGAAAUCCAAUGAAAGUCUGCAGUGUAGUUAACAGAAUUUACUGAAGUCAGUUUCUGAGUUGUGUUAAAGUUACCAUAGGAAGGUAAGCUAUGAACAAGGGGCGGGGGGAAGCUGGGGAUGGGGUAUAUGGACCCCUCUGCACUAUCUUUGUGAAUUUUCUAUA